UUUCUUAUAUAAUAUAAUCGUUAAAUAGUCGUUGCUAUACGAGUAUUUGCCGACUAACAUAUUUAGUCGUAAAAUAACGACUAAUUGACUACUAAUGUUCAUGUUGUCGUAUAUGCGUCGUAAAACGGUCGUGACGUAGUCGCCAAAAACGACGACUACAUCUGUUGUCGCUUUCUGUAGUCGUUGUUUGUCUGUUUUCUUGUAGUGUAUAAACUGCCUCUUAGGGUUUUCCCGAGGGCAUCCGCUAUUAUCCGUUAUUAUCUCGCUUUUACAUUUUCGCAACUUUUAUAGCCGCAGUGUUUCUCCUGCAACUUUGUAUUUUCACUUUCAAAUAUUUGAUAUUCAGUUUUCGUUUAAGUCUUUCGUCAUUUCUGUUAUCAUGUUUUUAAUCGUUGCUUUGCUAUUGUCUUUGAUUAUGUCUGAGUAGUGAACUGUAUUUCUGAGGAUGGGAUAGAAUAGUUGUGGUUUACUUGGUCGUUUUAGGUGGUUGAGUUUAGAAUACUAGAAUCCCUUCUGGAUUAGUUGCGCUUAUUGCUUGUUUCACUGGCUAAUGUGGAGUAUGAGUCCAGACGUCCAGCGCUCAGGAGGCGUUUAAUGGGCGUUGGAUCCUAUUAAUUCCAGAGAUAUCUAC
rnacentral:sRNA from 1 species